AGCGAACGCUGGCGGCGUGCCUAACACAUGCAAGUCGAACGUGAAAGGGAGCAAUCCCAAGUUAAGUGGCGUACGGGUGAGUAACACGUAGGUAAUCUACCCCAGAAUCUUGAAUAUCCGGCCGAAUGGCUGGCUAAUACUUGAUACAGCGACGGAAUCCGUACUUGGGUUUUUCGGGAAAGGGAGCCUGUAUUAUGUCCUUCGUUCUUGGAUGAGCCUGCGUCCCAUCAGCUAUUUGGUGAGGUAAAAGCUUACCAAGGCGAUGGAGGGUACCUGGUCUGAGAGGACGAUCAGCCAAAAUGGGAAUGGAAAAAGGGACAGAAUCCGACGGGAAGCAGCAGGGGGGAAACUUGCGGAAAGGAGGAAAGUCUGAAGGAGGAAAGGCGGGUGAGUGAAGAAGGGAUUCGGGAUGGAAAGAUCUGGCGAGUGGGAAGAAAAAGAUGGGAGAGAAAAGAUGCAGGAAGUGACGGUACCAAAAAAGAAAGCACCGGCUAACUACGUG
rnacentral:rRNA from 1 species